UACGGAGGAUCCGAGCGUUAUCCGGAUUUAUUGGGUUUAAAGGGUGCGCAGGCGGGAUGUUAAGUCGGCGGUGAAAUUUUGCAGCUCAACUGUAAAAGUGCCUUCGAUACUGGCUUCCUUGAGUGUGGAUGAAGUAGGCGGAAUUUGUGGUGUAGCGGUGAAAUGCAUAGAUAUCACGAGGAACUCCGAUUGCGCAGGCAGCUUACUAAACCAUAACUGACGCUCAGGCACGAAGGCGUGGGGAUCAAACAGGAUUAGAUA
rnacentral:rRNA from 1 species